AUACUUACUUGGCAGGGGAGACACCAUGAUCACAAAGGUGGUUUUCCCAGGGUGAGGCUCAUCCAUUGCACUAUGGGUGUGCUGACCCCUGCAAUUUCCCCAAAUGCGGGAAACUCGUCUGAACUAAAAUCUGCUCGAUAAAAAUAAGUUGUUGAUGAACUCCGUUCUAA
rnacentral:snRNA from 1 species